ensembl:lncRNA
UUCCUGUCCCUGGUUUUCCGCGAAUGCUGCCCCCUUACCCUGGCUUCAUUUUUCAAGAUUCAAGUCCAGCGUCAUUUCCUGGAAAAGACUCCUCUCUGCAGCUGCUGAGUCACGACUUGCCUGGAGGAUAAAUUAGAGUGCAGAGGAUGUAGGUGGUACUUCUGAAGACAAUUUGAAGUCACAACAUCCACCCCCAAACAGAUACAGAAAUGCUUUGAAAAAUCAGAGAGCUGUAUAAAUCUUGGACCCUCAAAUGUAACCCCGAAUAUCAGCAGCAGACCCCCCCACCCCUGGGGGAAAAGUCUCCAAUCAGAGAUCCUCUGAGGCGAGCCAAGAGCGGUUUUGGAGGGAGCAGCGCAUAUUUUGAGGGAAGAAGCCCCAUGAGAGCCUCCCUGCAAGAAGCCAGAACAUUAUCACCAACCCCUCUCCUCUGUCCCCUCAAAGGCCUCUCCUGACCACAGUGUUAGUCCUCUGAGUUGGCUGGUAGAACAAUUAGCUUUCCUCAGGGCAUGGGCGGAUCACCAAGUCAGGCCUCCAAGCAGGGGUUUCCUGUCACCAAAGCCACACUAAUGCAAAUCCAUUUUUUAUUAGGCGAAAAUAAAACUCACAAGUG